UUUAUUUUUGAGAUAUUUGCUUUGGGUUGCAUGUUUUCAUAAGCUUGUGUUGUGUUGAAUACAAAAGGAACUGGCUUUGUUGUUCCCUUGGACUGGAAAAAUGGGUGACAAUCAUGUUGUUCUUAAUAUUAUUAAGCCUGCGGGCAAAGGCGAUUCUUCAAAAGCAGGAAUCUUUAUCUUCCCUGGAUGUAUAGGUAGCGCUAAUCUAUUAAUUAGUUCAGAUUUCUAUAGAACCUAACAUUUGCAGUUCCUUUCUCAAGCAUAGAUUCAACCAUUAUAUGACUUUAUAUAUUCCACAAGAUUUGGGUUAGCGAGGUGGAGCUGCAAGGAGAUGGACCAGUGGAUGUUGAAUUUGGAAUCGUGUUGGAUUCAAGGUGUGGGGUCUAGUGGGAUUGCAGCAGAUUUGGUGAAUGAUUUUGAAUUGGUUCAAUUUGGAUCCAGUUUUGUGUUUACCUUGUUUUGAGACAGUUAGGUACGAUUUGAUAUCAUCUUUGUGUAUAUUACUGAAUUUGGUCACAAAAGAUAGAUAAUAACAUGGUGCUUUGAGGUUGAAA